rnacentral:rRNA from 1 species
UAGGGAAUCUUCCACAAUGGACGCAAGUCUGAUGGAGCAACGCCGCGUGAGUGAAGAAGGUUUUCGGACCGUAAAGCUCUGUUGUUGGUGAAGAAGGAUAGAGGUAGUAACUGGCCUUUAUUUGACGGUAAUCAACCAGAAAGUCACGGCUAACUACGUGCCAGCAGCCGCGGUAAUACGUAGGUGGCAAGCGUUGUCCGGAUUUAUUGGGCGUAAAGCGAGCGCAGGCGGAAGAAUAAGUCUGAUGUGAAAGCCCUCGGCUUAACCGAGGAAUUGCAUCGGAAACUGUUUUUCUUGAGUGCAGAAGAGGAGAGUAGAACUCCAUGUGUAGCGGUGGAAUGCGUAGAUAUAUGGAAGAAUACCAGUGGCGAAGGCGGCUCUCUGGUCUGCAACUGACGCUGAGGCUCGAAAGCAUGGGUAGCGACAGGAUUAGA